rnacentral:rRNA from 1 species
UACAGAGGGGCAAGCGUUAUUCGGAAUUAUUGGGCGUAAAGCGCACGUAGGCGGCUUUCUAAGUCGGGGGUGAAAUCCUGGAGCUCAACUCCAGAACUGCCUUCGAUACUGGAAGCUCGAGUCCGGGAGAGGUGAGUGGAACUGCGAGUGUAGAGGUGAAAUUCGUAGAUAUUCGCAAGAACACCAGUGGCGAAGGCGGCUCACUGGCCCGGUACUGACGCUGAGGUGCGAAAGCGUGGGGAGCAAACAGGG